AAGAAAUCUCAACAAAAGCCGUGUUAAAGAAUAAAGAUGUCUGCCAGCUUGUUGUGUUUCGUGUGUUGAUGAAUGGCAUGGUGUGCAAGUUCGUGUGCAUUCUGUAGAUUUCACAGAAUUAUUGAUCGCUUCUGAGUUUUUGAUUCAUAUCAAACGCACCAUAUCAUCGGAAAUAAGGCUUGCAAAGUUAUGCGUUGUGAGUUUUGGCUUCUUGACCUGCGGGAUCCGUGGCUGUAAAUAUUGUUUCACACAGGCAUUACAGUCAAGAUGCAGAACUCUGCACCAAGGAUGCCUGGUAUGGGACCAUCUGACAAAGAAUUGAAUGACUUAUUGGAUUUCAGUGCUAUGUUUUCCCCUCCAACUGGUGCCGGUGGUAAGCCAGGAGGUAAUACUGUACCCAUGAGCCACUGUGGUCCAGGAACAGUCAGACCAGUGCGACCUACAGGACCAGUACGGUCAGCAGGACCAGGUAUACCUCCAAGUCCAACUGGGCCAGCAGGUCAACCAUCUAACUAUAAACCUGGUGAGAAAUAUAUCCAUUUGUGACAUCUUUUAUCCCAUUUUUGCCAAUGCAUAAACUACAGUGAUGCUUUGGUCUUGACGCUCGCGAAAGGUGCAGUUUACACUGUAAAGCUAUGCCCUUCAGUCAACAUCCAGGAUUGAAUUUUGGGGUUGGUUUCUUUUAUGGGUACAUUUUACCUCAAUAGGGUACGCGAUUCGCUGCUACCCAGUUCCCUGAUACCCGUAAAUGCACACCACUAGAUGGGUACCCACUAACUUAGUAAUUAAGGUGGCCAAUUCAAAUUUAUAAUUCUUAGUACAGGUAGUUUUUAAAUCUGAUACGAGUACACAGUAGAACAUUUCCCAUGGUUUCUUUGGAAAUCAUUUUUAAGCUAACAGUGCGAAACAUUUCCGUGGUGUGAAAUUGCAAUUCAGUGGAUCAUAAGCAAAGGAUUAACCAUCAUUGCAUGCUGUGCUGCUGUUUCAAUCAUUGUAACUGCAAAUUCUGUUCGCAAGGCUAAAAUGACGCAAGUGGUAAACCAUAUUCUGUGAGAGGGGGGGGGGGAGGAUUCUACAAUUGGUGCCUUUUGAAGGCCAAGCACAAUGAUUGAGGAAACAUGGCCCAUUUCUAAAUCAUGGGGAUAACUGGGGGAUAAGUUUUUUGGAGAAAAUAUGAAAACAAAUUAAGUGCAAAUUUAAGGAGCACUUUCUAGGGAAAGCAUCCUUUUGGAGUUGAGAAACACUUUUGCCACAAAGUGAUAAUGGUUGGAAAUUUGCAAUUUUCUUGUAAUUACCAAUAGAAGGGAUUUCAGGUUGCAAAAGUUAGGUCCUCAAAUUCCAACUGUAGGAAUGCUGGAAGUCAUUCUAGUCACAGUUUAUUUUCAAAACGUUCUUUAAUGCUGUUUUGCACCCAUCAAGACUACCUUGACCGUCCGAUUGUACUUGU